rnacentral:rRNA from 1 species
AUUGAACGCUGGCGGCAGGCCUAACACAUGCAAGUCGAGCGGAUGAAGGGAGCUUGCUCCUGGAUUCAGCGGCGGACGGGUGAGUAAUGCCUAGGAAUCUGCCUGGUAGUGGGGGAUAACGUCCGGAAACGGGCGCUAAUACCGCAUACGUCCUGAGGGAGAAAGUGGGGGAUCUUCGGACCUCACGCUAUCAGAUGAGCCUAGGUCGGAUUAGCUAGUUGGUGGGGUAAAGGCCUACCAAGGCGACGAUCCGUAACUGGUCUGAGAGGAUGAUCAGUCACACUGGAAAUAAGACCCGGUCCAGACCCCUAGGGGAGGAAGCAGGGGGGAAUUUUGGACAAGGGGCAAAAGCCUGACCCAGCCCUGCCGCGGGUUGAAAGAAGGUUUUGGGUUUGAAAACCAUUUUAAGUUGGGAGGAGGGGAAGAAAUUUAAACCCUUGUUUUUUGGACUUAACAAACAGAAGAACCCCCGGCUAAUGUCG